CUUCUCAAGACAAUGGUCUCUGAUUGUUUUUCUUGGAUCUCUACUUUGACCUAGGUUGGUGCUGAUAAAAAUCUGCUUGUGAAGGAUCAUACUCAUACUUUUGUAAACAAAGGGGGCGAAAUUGGUGAACUGGAUUUUAGGUUUCCAAUUGGAGCACCGUUACAUGGAAUUCGUGCUUUUUUGUCUACAAAUCAGCUCAAGAUCCUUCUUUUUGCUGGUGGUUAAUGGCUGUUGCUUGUUGGUUUGUUGCAUCUGCUGCUGCUGGUUUGCUGUUGUUGCCGCCCUCGUGGCUGAUGCUUGUUGGGCUGCUACUGCUGCAAUGUUGCUGUGAGGCAGCUGCUACUAGAUGUUGGUCUGCUGGAUAAGUUUGUGGGUGAUUUUCAUGUUGUUUUGCCUGUCUUUGUUAGUUUCAUGUUUUCAUUUGGUUAUCUGUUGUUUUUAAUGUGGGUUCACAAUUUGGAUGUAUUUAGGUAUUUUAGUGACUUUACCCUUUUAGGUUUUAUACAUUGCUUCUAAAAGCAGUAUCAGUAGUGUUUUUUUUGCUUGCACAUCAACUUUUGCUAAUUUCAUAUCAAUGUUAUUAGUUUGUAAUAGUGGUGCCUGAGGGAUGUCUCUUGUAAAUCUGUAAAUCUUAUAAAAAUAUAUAAAUUAUUUUAAAUUAUUUUCGUUAGUAAAUGUGUCGCCAAAAGUUUAUUUUUGCCCAUUCAUAUUGUGUUGUUAGAAGUAUAUUUUUUGCCAAUGUCAAUUUGUCGUUGCCAAAAGUAAUCCUUUAUCGACAAACAAAUAGUUGGCAAAUGGCAAUAUUUGCCGACGUAAAUGUGUUGCCAAAAGUUUACUUUUGCC